CACUGACAAGCUGCUGGAAGACUUUUUUCUACACUGUUGUACUGAACUUUGUACCUCCACUAGAGGGAGACAUUAUCAAGUAGGAGGUGCACUACUUCUGCACUGUGUUCAACCAUUCAGUCAAUAAUAAGUGCUGCUGUGAAGAGAACAAUUCUCAGACUGAAUGUUGAACAUCAGCUAGUUUCUCCUGUUGAUUUAAACCUUGUUGUAGAGAUGGAACAUUGGCUGUGGAUUAUUCUUGCUGCUCUUUUCUUUGAGUGUAAAGGAGAUGACAGAGUGAACCAGCCAAAAAGAGAUGUCAUUACUACUGAAGGAGAGACAGUUACUCUUGACUGUACAUUUGAGACCAGUAUCCCAACUCCCACUUUGUACUGGUACAAACAAGAAGAAAAUGAUUACCCAAAGAUGCUGCUGCAACGUUUCUCUGUAAAAACUGACAAUUCUAAAGCGCAAGAGAGAAUUGAUGCAACAAUCAAGGAUAAGUCAGUUCCUCUGAAGAUCCAGAAGCUUCAGCUGUCUGACUCUGCUGUGUACUACUGUGCUCUGCAGCCCACAGUGACAGGAAACACCAAAACUCUGUACAAAAACCUUUGGAGCAAAGACAACAUAAUACUCCACAACAUCCACCAGAGGAAGUCACACACUGUUAAAUGUUGA